UCUAGCUGGAAAGGCUUUGAUGUAAC
rnacentral:piRNA from 1 species